rnacentral:rRNA from 1 species
GGACCUGACUGCUAUCGGAUUGAUACUAAGCCAUGCGAGUCAUUGUAGCAAUACAAGGCAUACGGCUCAGUAACGCGUAGUCAACCUAACCUAUGGACGGGAAUAACCUCGGGAAACUGAGAAUAAUGCCCGAUAGAACAUUAUGCCUGGAAUGGUUUAUGUUCCAAAUGAUUUAUCGCCGUAGGAUGGGACUGCGGCCUAUCAGUUUGUUGGUGAGGUAAUGGCCCACCAAGACUAUUACAGGUACGGGCUCUGAGAGGAGUAGCCCGGAGAUGGGUACUGAGACACGGACCCAGGCCCUGUGGGGCGCAGCAGGCGAGAAAACUUUGCAAUGUGCGAAAGCACGACAAGGUUAAUCCGAGUGGUUUCUGCUAAAGAAACCUUUUGUCGAGUCCUAGAAACACUGAUGAAUAAGGGGUGGGCGAAGUUCUGGUGU